GAUUAGAACGGCUACGGCUUUUCUAACAGGCUUUGAAACUUCAAGGGAGCUGUAAUCCUUCGCUCGAAGAGCGUAAACACAUGAAUAGUC
rnacentral:ncRNA from 1 species